CUCUCACAAAGAAAUACUGAAAGCUCAAAAAAAGAAAAGAUUUAAUUUCUUUAUCACAUAGUAGAAAUAAAACAAUAACAAAAAUAAUAAUUUAGGAAAAACAAUAACAAAAAUAAUAACUUAAGGAUUUAUAUUUGUGGAAGGAACAGAGAGAUAGGGUGGUGGCUGUGAAAAAUGCCAUUUGGCGUUGUAGAAGCAAAAAUAGCCUUAUGAUUAAGAGCCCUAGUGCCGGUUGCAUGGCCUUGGGCAAUGUACCUCUCCAUGCAGCAGCGUCCUCCUGUAUAAAGUGCAGAGAAUGAUCACACCCAUCUCAUAGAUUGUUGUGAGGAAUAAGGUGAAUAACAUAAGUCAUGCGCACUUAGUACAAUGCCCGGCACUUAGCAAGCACUUAGCAAUAUAUGUUACAUGAUACACAUUCUUGUCACAAUCCUCGCUACAUAUCUACACUUCUCUUUUGACAUUUCAUUCCCGUUAAAUUCUUAGUGUAAAGUCUUCUUUUCAUGCCUCUUAUUGUGUGCUCUUCUUUCUAAAAUAGAGUCUAGCCUUAUAAAAAAUAUAUAUGACAAGCCAACUGGAAGAAGGUCACAGUAAAUGAAAGCAGUGUAGCACAUUGCAAACCCAGACAGAAGCCUAGUUAAGACAAUUAUGCAAAGUUGGCUUACCUGUUUUUUCCCUUGGAGAAACAUCAGAAUCUUGACUCAUAAAAUCUGGUAUGACCCAUUUGUCUAAGUACCUACACAUGAGAAUACCCAGAUGUGUUCUUUAAUCACAAAACCAGAGAGGCUCACAGAACUAGAUAGAAUCCACAUUCUAUGAGGAAAGCCACAUUGUAUAAAACUGGUAAUAAAAGAGACUAGUCUCUAGCCACUCCUCACUGAGGAAUUGGUGAUGACUUCUAAACAAUGAAGUUGAAGAAACAGUUCUCAAACUUUGGUAACAGAGAAACUUUUUACUUUCUGUUUAGGUAUUGGCUAGAAGCACAGUCUCAUAGUUAGAAGGGUAGUCUUUGGCAUCACAAUACCUGGGGUUCUAAACCCAGCAUCAAUAUUUGCUAGAUGUGUGACUUCGGUGUCAUUAACAUCUCUGUGCCUCCAUUCUGUUAUCAGUACAUUGGAUUAAUAGUCGUACCUGUCCCAGAAGAUGAUUGACAAGAAUGACACCCACAUCCUCUGGAGAAGAUGGUUAGCUUUUAAUUUAGGCCUUUGAGGAGAUUGUUCCAGGAAGCUCCUCUCUUCGGUCCCACCUACUCAGCCCUCAGGGAGGAAGGAGGGCUUUGUCGCUGACAGGUCAUGAGCACAGAUUCUGCCCCAAGACGUCUGCUUUCAGAACGCAAGUUCUGUUCACAAGGAACAAGGGGUAUCCAUACAAGUCCAAGUCCAUGAAGAAGGCCAUUCUGCAACCCAGAAGCCAGAGACUGGAGUUCCCACAUCCACUUGUUCUGAUUCAUUUCAUGAAGUUUAGAUGACUAAAAGAGGUUUAAAACUUAAACAUGUGGUAUAACCUCAGCAAUUCAUUUGUUCAAUUUUUUUUUUUAAAAAAAAGAAUGAAAAAGUUAAAUUUUGUAACAAUAGUAUGAACUCAAAAACAUAUCCUGGGAGCAAAAAGAGAAUUGUGGCUUUGACAUUCUGCCUUUUAUCUUCAUGGGAAAAGCAAAAGCUAAGCUGAAAAAAAUGUUUCAUUUUGGUAAACUCAUAAGCUAUUGCUUCCCCACAACUUUAAGUGAUUUUUGCUGAUCUGUGCCCUGACCACAUAGAAAUGUUCAAACAAAAACUCAAGGUCAUUUUCACUUAUCUUUCUUAUUCUUUUCUACAAAGAAACGUCAAUAUAUUCUAGGUUUACAUAUGAUUUUAUAAGAUUUUUUCCCUUACAAAUCUCUUUUCCUUUAGCUGCAAACCACCUGAUUCUGAUUUUCCUUUGCCAUAAAUCUGAAUUUUUACAUUUUAUCUGGUAUUCACAACAGAUGGGCUAUGAACCAAAAAAUAAUAAUAAUAAUAAUACAAUGGGAGGAAAGAGAAGAUAAAAUUAUUGGGCAAAAACUAUACAGAAGAUGAAACAACUCUCAGAGAGGAUACAAUGGGGACACAAGGGAUAGCCUAACAACAAUCAAUCUGACAACUAACUUUAAAUGGGGAAAAAAACAUUUUCUUAAUAAAACUAUAAAGCCAGCUGUGUGCACCUUUAGUGUUGUUGCAAUCCGGAAAGAGAGAGGAUACCUUGGCAUUACGUCAACCAUAUUUUCAUGUCCUGCUAUCAAGGAUUUCUUCCCACCGCUGUCUCUAUGCUCUCCAGCCAUAAAAGAGGGCAACAUCUUUAAUGAUGUGAAAUCCACCAACUCCCGAAUUCCCGACCCCCCACUGCAUGUUUCCCUGAGACAAAACUCAUCAGACAUUUUUUACCAGCCUCGCAAGAAGAUGUUAUGGAAACCAAUGUCCUUUCAAACCUGAGUCUAGUCCCUCCAAACAUUCUAGGGGAAGGACAGGCGACAGCAGGAUCAACUGAGUGAAGAUGUGCCCACAAGUUUUAAAGUUAGGCUAAAAUUUAUGAUUAAAGGCAGAAGAGCAAUUUAUACUAUGAUACAAAACAUUUAAAUAGGAAAAUUUCAACUCAUCGUAUGUACUAUGCCUACAUGACGCCAAAUAGUAUACUUGAAAAUCAUACAUUAAAACAGCUGUCUUCAUGUUAGUGACUUGCUGUCCAAUUUAUAUAGGGUCCCACUCCUGCAAAACUUUUCCGCUGUGUACUAUUGUCUUAUUUUUUAAUCCCUUAGCAGAAAUUCAAAAGCUGCCUUUAUCUGAUAGAAGAAUUUCAUCUCUCAUGAGAAAAGCCACUGAUAAAACUUGACUUUCAAUCAAAACCAAAACUUCAUUUCCAAAAACCUCUAGGACACAGCUUUCAGCAAACUUAGAAAAACAUUCAAAUGGGAGUUUUCGUUGUUGUUGUCAAUUUUUAGAAGGAUUUAUCCCUUUUGUAUUAAAAGCUCAUUUGGUCACAAGUAACAGAAAUUCAUUGAGUCUCGCUUUGGGGUAGGGAAUGAACAAGAAUACACUGUGGAACUCAAGGGCAGGAAAUAGCUCAGGAAGAAUGGGAUCCAAG
ensembl:lncRNA